rnacentral:snoRNA from 1 species
UAAAUCAUACUAUACAGAAUCAUUUCUGCAGUGUGUAUUUCACAGUACCAACUAUUUUGAAAUACUACCAAGUUAUAUGCGCGUAGAUAAUCGGAUAAACAGAUUCUCUUUCAGAUGUGCA